GAGUUUGAUCCUGGCUCAGAAUGAACGCUGGCGGCGUGCCUAACACAUGCAAGUCGUACGAGAAAGACUGUUUUCGGAUGGUCGAGUAAAGUGGCGCACGGGUGAGUAACGCGUAGGUAACCUACCCUUGUAUUGGGGAUAACAGGACGAAAGUUCUGCUAAUACCGGAUGUGACCUGGGGCUGGAGGGUUUCAGGUUAAAGUGGGCCUCUCGAAGGAGCUCAUGUACAGGGAUGGGCCUACGUCCUAUCAGCUUGUUGGUGGGGUAAUGGCCUACCAAGGCGACGACGGGUAGCUGGUCUGAGAGGAUGAUCAGCCACACUGGCACUGGAACACGGGCCAGACUCCUACGGGAGGCAGCAGUGAGGAAUUUUGCGCAAUGGGAGCAAUCCUGACGCAGCAACGCCGCGUGGGUGAAGAAGGCCUUCGGGUCGUAAAGCCCUGUCAGGUGGGAAGAAGGUCCUAUCAGGAAAGGGGUGGGAUUUGACGGUACCACCAGAGGAAGCACCGGCUAACUCCGUGCCAGCAGCCGCGGUAAUACGGAGGGUGCGAGCGUUAUUCGGAAUUACUGGGCGUAAAGCGCGUGUAAGCGGGGGAGCAAGUCUGAUGUGAAGCCCCGGGCUUAACCCGGGAGUGCAUUGGAAACUGUUUUUCUUGAGUACUGGAAAGAAGGGGAAUUCCCGUGUAAAGUGAA
rnacentral:rRNA from 1 species